rnacentral:rRNA from 12 species
CAUAGUAGCUCACUGUCCUGCGAGGGCCCGAUCCGAUUAGAUCUCACAAAGUAAACAAGGCCGGUCUGGUUAGUAGUUGGAUGGGAGACCGCCAGAACAAAUAACAUGCUGUUGGUU